CGCGCGGGUAGCGUCCUCUCAAGCGAGAUAUAAGCAUUUUCACAUUGUGAUACUUCACACGUCCGCAUCUCGCGUAUCUACAAAAAAACCGGCGUAAAAACACGGCCAAUUUUCUUGCCCUCAAGCAUUGGUAAUAAGUCAUUUCACUAAAAUGUUGAAACCGACGGCACAAAAUGUGUUCACACAAAUUUGCCUUUGUCGUGCCAUGCCGACGCGAAUGGCGACAGUUAACGGGGUAUAAAUGUAUGUUUAUCGAGUUUAUUUUUUUCUUUUCGCUUCGGAAUAACUGAAAGGAACUUAUGCCGAUGAAACAUGAUUUCGACAGGACGAGAUCACCUGUCGCACAUUCUGAGAGACCUUGCCGCGUGAGAGGCACCCCCGAUCUUGUUCGAACUUACUUCGCGGUAUGAUCAAGACCGUAAUAUGCGAUCUCGCGUCCCGUGACUUCUUUACGUGACUCCAUACCGUUGUUAAAUUUCAGAGGGGAAUUUCAGAUGGACUAUUCGCGGUGUUACUGCGCUGACAUUGUCGUGUUAAAGAAAACGGUCCGAUUACACCGUCUGUCAGAAAACCGACUGUCACGAACGUACAGUGAUAGCCAUAAUACAUUGUGUUUGAUGUGCUAUUUCACCGGUAAAUUUCGUUUCCUGCAGAUUGUAAACUUUCAAAAUU